rnacentral:rRNA from 1 species
AUUGAACGCUGGCGGCAUGCCUAACACAUGCAAGUCGAACGGAGAUAGGGGCAACCUUAUUUCAGUGGCGGACGGGUGAGGAAUGCGUCGGAAUCUGCCCUAUGGUGGGGGAUAACACAGGGAAACUUGUGCUAAUACCGCAUAAUGUCGAGAGACCAAAGCAGGGGACCGCAAGGCCUUGCGCGAUAGGAUGAGCCGACGCCAGAUUAGCUUGUUGGUAGGGUAAUGGCCUACCAAGGCGACGAUCGGUAGCUGGUCUGAGAGGAUGAUCAGCCACACUGGGACUGAGACACGGCCCAGACUCCUACGGGAGGCAGCAGUGGGGAAUAUUGGACAAUGGGCGCAAGCCUGAUCCAGCAAUGCCGCGUGUGUGAAGAAGGCCUGCGGGUUGUAAAGCACUUUUGUUCGGGAAGAAAUCAUGUCGGUUAAUACCCGGCAGUGGUGGUAGUAUCCCUAGAGAAAGCACCGGCUAACUACGUGCCAG